UUGAAAAACUUUGUAGGUUGCAGUUGAGCUGGCCUCUCGGGGCAUGUGCUUGCUGUUGGCCUUCAAAAAUCUUCAUCCACCUGUGCACAUCUUGUAGGAGGGAAAGAUUGAUAACUUUGUCCAAUAAGUAGAGGAACUCCUGGCCUGGUUAGCUCUGGGCCUUUGUUGCUUGAACAUUGGAGGAAGGGAAGCGGUCUUUUCUUUCCUAUGUUUUUACACACACAAUUUGAAUGUUCAGAAUGUCUUAUAUUUAUUGAAGGGUGUAAAAACCUCUUCAUUAAAAACAUAAUACAACUUUCAGCAACGGAUCUCUUGGCUCUCGCAUCGAUGAAGAACGCAGCGAAAUGCGAUAAGUAAUGUGAAUUGCAGAAUUCAGUGAAUCAUCGAAUCUUUGAACGCACCUUGCGCCUCUUGGUAUUCCGAGAGGCAUGCCUGUUUGAGUGUCAUUAAAUUCUCAACUUCAAUAGUUUUUAUAACUUGUUGAAGCUUGGAUGUGGAGGUUUAUUGCUGGCUUUUUCAUUAAGCUGGCUCCUCUUAAAUGCAUUAGUGGAGACUGUUUGUGGUCCACAAUUAGUGUGAUAAUUAUCUACGCUAUUUGCUUGGUGCUGCACGCUCUGUAGUGUUUCGAUUGGGAAGCUGCAUGAAUCAAUGCUCUUUCUGCUUCAAUGAACCUGCAAAAGUGAAGUCCUUCUGCUUCUAACUGUCUUCU
rnacentral:rRNA from 1 species